rnacentral:rRNA from 1 species
UACGUAGGGGGCAAGCGUUGUCCGGAUUUAUUGGGCGUAAAGCGCGUGUAGGCGGCCACACAGGUCCGUUGUGAAAACUCGAGGCUUAACCUCGAGACGUCGAUGGAAACCGUAUGGCUAGAGUCCGGAAGGGGAGAGUGGAAUUCCUGGUGUAGCGGUGAAAUGCGCAGAUAUCAGGAAGAACACCCGUGGCGAAGGCGGCUCUCUGGGACGGUACUGACGCUGAGACGCGAAAGCGUGGGGAGCGAACAGG